rnacentral:rRNA from 1 species
UACGGAGGGGGCUAGCGUUGUUCGGAAUUACUGGGCGUAAAGCGCGUGUAGGCGGCUUUGUAAGUCAGAGGUGAAAGCCUGGAGCUCAACUCCAGAACUGCCUUUGAAACUACAUCGCUAGAAUCAUGGAGAGGUUAGUGGAAUUCCGAGUGUAGAGGUGAAAUUCGUAGAUAUUCGGAAGAACACCAGUGGCGAAGGCGACUAACUGGACAUGUAUUGACGCUGAGGUGCGAAAGCGUGGGGAGCAAACAGG